AAGGAUCAUUACCAUAAUGUGCGCUGUCACACGAGUCAUCACGCCUGGGCAGUAAUUCCCGCCAUAUAGUAGGGCAAAAGGCCACCCGGAGUGCCCCCGAAACAAAACUGUCGGGGGGAGGGCUGCAGUGUCAGCUGGGCUCCGGGGGCGGGAUAGAGUUAGAGUCCCGUCCGCGUCACGCAAGAAUCGAAAUCGAACUUGAACCCGGUGCUGGGUUUGCCCGUUAAGGCUGAUUGGCCCGUUCACCUUCACAAAACCCUCCGUGUACCAUUUCCCUGUUGCUUCCCCGCGCCCCCGCGGCGCGGGGGAGGUCCACCUGAAACACAACAGCACCAAACUGCAGUCAGAAAAACAAACAAACAAUAAGUUAAAACUUUCAACAACGGAUCUCUUGGUUCCCGCAUCGAUGAAGAACGCAGCGAAAUGCGAUAAGUAAUGUGAAUUGCAGAAUUCAGUGAAUCAUCGAAUCUUUGAACGCACAUUGCGCCCUCUGGUAUUCCGGAGGGCAUGCCUGUUCGAGCCUCAAUGAAACCGCUCCCCGUGCGGCCGUUCCUCGAACGUCCCCGGGGGUAGUGGCGGACGCGAACGCCCCCAAAAGCGUGCGCGCCGCUCAAAUCCGCGGUCCGCAGGCCCGAGGGCGCACCCGACGUAGUGAUGAAUUUUCUCGUCGACGUGCGACCUCAAGCGCCUGGGACCUUAAGCGCUCCGGCGCCGCUUACAAUCGGUUGAGCUCGGAUCAGGUAGGGAUACCCGCUGAACUUAA
rnacentral:rRNA from 1 species